CUUUGUAUUUAUCAUCACUGGUUCCUGAGUGCAGAGCUUGGCAUCUUAGUCGGCAAAGGUGGAAUACAUGGAAAUGUGUUCCGUAUCAAACCACCAAUGUGCUUCACCAAAGAUGAUGCAGAUUGUCUUGUUGACGCGUUGGACUAUUCAAUGUCAAAGUUGUGAGGAGCUACCUGCCAGAAGCUGAGAUGAAUAUGUAAUUAUUCACAUUUUUUGGCAUCGAUCUCUUCUGAUAGGUUGCUUUCAA